UAACCUACCCAGUGAUGGAUAGCUGAACUGUUAGAAGUCAGCAGAGGUCAUAGUACUGUGAGAUACGCGUUAUCACGGGAAGGAC
rnacentral:ncRNA from 1 species